UGUAGUCAUAUGCUUGUCUCAAAGAUUAAGCCAUGCAUGUCUAAGUAUAAGCAAUUAUACCGCGAAACUGCGAAUGGCUCAUUAAAUCAGUUAUCGUUUAUUUGAUAGUACCUUACUACUUGGAUAACCGUGGUAAUUCUAGAGCUAAUACAUGCUAAAAAUCCCGACUUCGGAAGGGAUGUAUUUAUUAGAUUAAAAACCAAUGCCCUUCGGGGCUCACUGGUGAUUCAUAAUAACUUCUCGAAUCGCAUGGCCUUGCGCCGGCGAUGGUUCAUUCAAAUUUCUGCCCUAUCAACUUUCGACGGCUGGGUCUUGGCCAGCCAUGGUGACAACGGGUAACGGAGGGUUAGGGCUCGACCCCGGAGAAGGAGCCUGAGAAACGGCUACUACAUCCAAGGAAGGCAGCAGGCGCGCAAAUUACCCAAUCCCGACGCGGGGAGGUAGUGACAAUAAAUACUGAUACAGGGCUCUUUUGGGUCUUGUAAUUGGAAUGAGUACAAUUUAAAUCCCUUAACGAGGAACAAUUGGAGGGCAAGUCUGGUGCCAGCAGCCGCGGUAAUUCCAGCUCCAAUAGCGUAUAUUAAAGUUGUUGCAGUUAAAAAGCUCGUAGUUGAACCUUGGGCCUGGCUGGCCGGUCCGCCUCACCGCGUGCACUGGUCCGGCCGGGCCUUUCCCUCUGGGGAACCGCAUGCCCUUCACUGGGUGUGCUGGGGAACCAGGACUUUUACUUUGAAAAAAUUAGAGUGUUCAAAGCAGGCCUAUGCUCGAAUACAUUAGCAUGGAAUAAUAGAAUAGGACGUGUGGUUCUAUUUUGUUGGUUUCUAGGACCGCCGUAAUGAUUAAUAGGGACAGUCGGGGGCAUCAGUAUUCAAUUGUCAGAGGUGAAAUUCUUGGAUUUAUUGAAGACUAACUACUGCGAAAGCAUUUGCCAAGGAUGUUUUCAUUAAUCAGGAACGAAAGUUAGGGGAUCGAAGACGAUCAGAUACCGUCGUAGUCUUAACCAUAAACUAUGCCGACCAGGGAUCGGACGAUGUUAUUUUUUGACUCGUUCGGCACCUUACACGAAAGUACAAGUUUCUGGGUUCUGGGGGGAGUAUGGUCGCAAGGCUGAAACUUAAAGG
rnacentral:rRNA from 1 species